rnacentral:rRNA from 1 species
GAUGAACGCUGGCGGCGUGCCUAAUACAUGCAAGUCGAGCGAACAGACGAGGAGCUUGCUCCUCUGACGUUAGCGGCGGACGGGUGAGUAACACGUGGAUAACCUACCUAUAAGACUGGGAUAACUUCGGGAAACCGGAGCUAAUACCGGAUAAUAUAUUGAACCGCAUGGUUCAAUAGUGAAAGACGGUUUUGCUGUCACUUAUAGAUGGAUCCGCGCCGGAUUAGCUAGUUGGUUAGGUAACGGCUCACCAAGGCCACGAUGCGUAGCCGACCUGAGAGGGGGAUCGGCCACAGUGGAGCUGAGCCACGGUCCAGACUCCUACGGGAGGCAGCGGUAGGGAAUCUUCCGCAAAGGGCGAAAGCCUGACGGAGCAGCGCCGGGUGGGUGAUGAAGGUCUGCGGAUCGUAAGACUCUGUUAUUAGGGAAGAACAAAUGUGUAAGUAACUAUGCACGCCUUGACGGUACCUAAUCAAGAAGCCCCGGCUAACUACGUG